rnacentral:rRNA from 1 species
GCCUAACACAUGCAAGUCGAACGGAACUAUUUUGACUGAUUCCUUCGGGAUGAAGGAUUUUUAGUUUAGUGGCGGACGGGUGAGUAACGCGUGAGUAACCUGCCUCUGAGAGGGGAAUAACGUUCUGAAAAGAACGCUAAUACCGCAUAACACAUAUAUGCCGCAUGACAGAUACGUCAAAGAUUUUAUCGCUCGGAGAUGGACUCGCGUCCGAUUAGUUAGUUGGUGAGGUAACGGCUCACCAAGACCGCGAUCGGUAGCCGGACUGAGAGGUUGAACGGCCACAUUGGGACUGAGACACGGCCCAGACUCCUACGGGAGGCAGCAGUGGGGGAUAUUGCGCAAUGGGGGCAACCCUGACGCAGCAACGCCGCGUGAAGGAUGAAGGUUUUCGGAUUGUAAACUUCUUUUAUCAGGGACGAACUCUGACGGUACCUGAUGAAUAAGCUCCGGCUAACUACGUGCCAGCCGCCGCCGUAACAC